rnacentral:rRNA from 1 species
AUGAACGCUAGCGACAGGCCUACACAUAGCAAGUCGAGGGCGAGCACAAGGAGCAAUCUGAGGUGGCGACCGGCGCACGGGUGAGUAACACGUAUGCAACCUGCCUGUAAGCGGGGAAUAACCCGUUGAAAGACGGACUAAUACCGCAUAAUACUAAAUUACUGCAUGGUAAUUUAUUUAAACAUUUAUGGCUUACAGAUGGGCAUGCGCAUGAUUAGCUAGUUGGAGAGGUAACGGCUCCCCAAGGCAACGAUCAUUAGGGGUUCUGAGAGGAAGGUCCCCCACACUGGUACUGAGACACGGACCAGACUCCUACGGGAGGCAGCAGUGAGGAAUAUUGGUCAAUGGACGAGAGUCUGAACCAGCCAAGUCGCGUGCAGGAAGAAUGUUCCCUAUGGAUUGUAAACUGCUUUUGCAGGGGAAUAAAGUGCAUCACGUGUGAUGUUUUGUAUGUACUCUGCGAAUAAGGAUCGGCUAACUCCGUGCCAGCCGCCGC